rnacentral:rRNA from 1 species
CCUACGGGGGGCUGCAGUAGGGAAUCUUCCACAAUGGGCGCAAGCCUGAUGGAGCAACACCGCGUGCGUGAAGAAGGGUUUCGGCUCGUCAAGCUCUGUUGUUAAAGAAGAACACGUAUGAGAGUUACUGUUCAUACGUUGACGGUAUUUAACCCGAAAGUCACGGCUAACUACGUGCCAGCAGCCGCGGUAAUACGUAGGUGGCAAGCGUUAUCCGGAUUUAUUGGGCAUAAAGAGAGUGCAGGCGGUUUUCUAAGUCUGAUGUGAAAGCCUUCGGCUUAACCGGAGAAGUGCAUCGGAAACUGGAUAACUUGAGUGCAGAAGAGGGUAGUGGAACUCCAUGUGUAGCGGUGGAAGGCGUAGAUAUAUGGAAGAACACCAGUGGCGAAGGCGGCUACCUGGUCUGCAACUGACGCUGAGACUCGAAAGCAUGGGUAGCGAACAGGAUUAGAUACCCUGGUAGUC